CAUGUGAAGGUUUCCUCAGAUUAGAAAGAACAGCAGCGUGUACGUUAAACAGUCACUUCAACUGGACUGAUAAUUCAGAAAACUCAACGAUAUGAUCGUCAUCUUCUGCUUAAUGUUCAACAUGAUUCACGUUUUAGGCUCUUCCCUCAGCGAUCGGGUCCAUCAGACUCCGGCUGAUUUGUUCCACGAGUCCGGAGGAAACGCCGUCAUCAGCUGCACACACAGCAUCGACAACUACGAUGUAAUCCUCUGGUACAAACACUCGACGAGCAGCCAGAUGCAGCUCCUGGGAUACAACGAUGUCGUAAACGGAUACCCAGAGCAGGGGUUAAAGGUGAAAAUCAGUGGCAGCGCAAGCAAAGACAAGAUCAGCACUCUGACGGUGGAGGAUCUGAGCGAGAGCAGCAGCGCCGUUUAUUUCUGCGCCGCUAAAUACCACAGUGCUUCAUGUUAAUGUUCCCCAGCACAAAAACCUCGAGUUUAAUCUUUUUGAUGUCGUAUCUAUUUUGCAGCCGUGUUGCUUCCUUUCAUGAGGCGGCGGUGUGUCGUCACAGACUGCCUCAGCGCUGAGAAGAAACUGAAGCUCCUCCUCCUUCAUGAUGAUUUGAUAAAAGGAACAUUGAUAAAACACAAAUAAUCAGUCCACUCAGAUACACUGACAGCAUCUUUCAGCCUAUGUAACAGAUGCAGGCUGUUCUUAGUUUGAGCAUUUAUUUGAUUCUGUUUCCAGGCAACGCUACAAUCAGUCCAGGUUCUUCUGGCCAGCAGGUCCAUCAGACUCCAGCUGAGAUCAGCUGUCUGAAAUUAUUUGACGUUCUAUCAGACGUAUUAUCUAUUGAUAUUACUGUCCAUCGAGUAAUAUAUUAAUUUUUUGGCCAGUCUGUUAUCAUCUGUACAUAAACUGUAACAGUGCGUUUAUACAAAUACUGUUAAAAAGUACAUGUGAGCAAGAUCAGUGUGUCUGUACGUUCCAAUUAGAUUUUCCAGUCUAGAACCACAAAUCCUCACACACUCUGUCUAACAGGCCAAUUUAACUCCAUUCACAAAAAA